rnacentral:lncRNA from 1 species
UCAUGCCUAUAAUUGACCAUAAUUUUUCACAUUAUCAUAAUCAAAAAAGGCCUACAAAUUUUUCACUAAAUACAAUCAUAAAUUUAGAAAUACAUGCCACAUAAGUCUAGAAUUUAAAUGCCCAACACUUCAUACAAGUUCAACAUUCUCGGUCACAAAAUUUAAUAUCAGAAAAUAAGUAAAUAACAACCAAAAGCAGGCCAAGAACUUCUUACUACAGAAACUUAUUGAAUUACAAAUUACAAACUAAGCACAGUCAUUGAAGUCACGGACUUCUUCUCUUCUUAGAAAUGUCAGAGGAUUCAUAGUCCCAGCUCCAACCUGCUCAAUACGUCCAAAAAUAAAUAAGUGCCAAUCAAGGAGCUAUACAAAAACCUCACUAGCAUGCAUUUUACAUAUGGAAUUUUACCCAUUCAAGGAUACUUGAGAGCUAAUUGAGGUGCAGAAGUUUCGCAAAACAAAUUUUAAAAGAAAUUUUAAAAGAGCAACAGGCCUCAGAGAUCUUGGUGGAUAGAAAAUCAUCAGGUGGGUAGAUAAAUUACCCAUCAAGAGUAGCAAAUAUCUAUUUCUCACAUCACAAGCCCUUCUCUUUCAAUUUUUGAAAAAUUGCCGGAACAUUCCACUCAGAUGCAUCAUGUCAUCUGUUCAGUGCUAAUACGGAUUUCAAAACGAGAAAGUUAAAAAAAUGCUGCUUAACAUGCAUAAAAACCAUUAAUUAUGUAGAUUGGCUGGGUAGGAGAUGAACAACAGGUGAUGCUGGUGCUGUGGGGUCAGAAGUAGCUGGUGGUUUUUUAUCAUUCUUACGGAGAAUGAUGAAUGGGAAUCCGUUUGAUUUUUUCAUCACUCCCAUGAUCACCAGUUCACCACCACUACCCCAACUGAGCUCAAAUCUUUGCCACAGCAAGACAUAGUAGCAAAUCAAUUUAAGUAGGAAAAGAUAGUUUUUACAUGUUAUUUUCCAAAACUAUAUAUCAAAAGAUAAGAAAAUCAGUAGAUAAAAAAAUUAUAAAAAAAAUUGUAUCCUUGUCACCAAAAAAUCCUAAAAGCAUAGGAGGAAUGAUUCGGAGCUAAAGGUAGACAACACACGCAGGUGUGCAAAAAAAAAGAAAAAAGCAAUAAUUUGAGCUCAAAAAUGUUAUUUCAGCAUCUAUUCCAGCUAAAAUACCAGUUAAAUUAACUAGAGGGAAGCAACAAACUUCAGACAAGAGAAAGGAAGACGGAGGGGAAGGAACGCCGAACGGCCCGAACCAACCUUAAAUUGGAAAUCAAAUUGAGGGCUUUAAGAUGCGCCGUGGAGGAAGACAGAUGGUUAGCAGUCCUUAAGACGCACCGUGGAGGAAGUCAAGCCUCUGUCCGAAUACAGCUGAGCCAACGACGAAGGCGAGUUGCAGUCAAUUGCUUCGAGAGGAAGAAGGUUUCUCUCGAAUGAAGUCGAAUUGCAGUCGAAUGAGGCCUGAAGGGUAGCAGUGGCGGUGCCGCGGUGGUGGCUGUGGUCAGCGUGGUGCACUCGUGGGUGGUGGCGGCGAUGGCUAGGGCUUGAGAAGGUGUGAAGGAAAGAAGGAAAGACCAAAUAGAAAUGCGGUAGAGGAGAAGUAAUAAGAAAUGGAAU